UAAUGAGGAUAUUUUAAUCGCAUCAGAAAAAAGGAACAUCACUGUGGAGCUUCCUCAGCCGGACCUCUGCUUCUCAAGGCUCGGAUGGGAGUGAGGCUCCAGCUUGGAUGUGCAUCUGCUCUUAGAAGCUGUGAUCUUGUCCCAGACCCCCACAAUAUUCACAUAA